rnacentral:rRNA from 1 species
CCGAAUGGGGAAACCCACUGCUUCGGCAGUAUCCUGCAGUGAAUUCAUAGCUGCUGGAAGCGAACCCGGUGAACUGAAAUAUCUAAGUAACCGGAGGAAAAGAAAUCAACCGAGAUUCCCUAAGUAGUGACGAGCGAACGGGGAACAGCCCUUAAGCUGGAAUGGCUUUAGAAAAACAAUCUGGAAAGAUUGGCCAUAGAAGGUGAUAGCCCUGUAUUUAAAAGGGCCACUCCAGUGAAGACGAGUAGGGCGGGGCACGUGAAACCCUGUCUGAAUAUGGGGGGACCAUCCUCCAAGGCUAAAUACUCCUGACCGACCGAUAGUGAACCAGUACCGUGAGGGAAAGGCGAAAAGAACCCCGGAGAGGGGAGUGAAAUAGAUCCUGAAACCGUGUGCGUACAAGCAGUAGGAGCUCGCAAGAGUGACUGCGUACCUUUUGUAUAAUGGGUCAGCGACUUACUGUUCGUGGCAAGCUUAACCGUAUAGGGGAGGCGAAGGGAAACCGAGUCUGAUAAGGGCGCAUAGUCGCGGGCAGUAGACCCGAAACCGGGUGAUCUAGUCAUGGCCAGGGUGAAGGUGCCGUAACAGGUACUGGAGGCCCGAACCCACGUCUGUUGCAAAAGACGGGGAUGAGCUGUGAUUAGGAGUGAAAAGCUAAUCGAACCCGGAGAUAGCUGGUUCUCCUCGAAAGCUAUUUAGGUAGCGCCUCGGACGAAUACUACUGGGGGUAGAGCACUGUUAUGGCUAGGGGGUCAUCGCGACUUACCAAACCAUUGCAAACUCCGAAUACCAGUACGUACUAUCCGGGAGACACACGGCGGGUGCUAACGUCCGUCGUGAAAAGGGAAACAACCCAGACCCACAGCUAAGGUCCCAAAUUCACUGCUAAGUGGAAAACGAUGUGGAAAGGCAUAGACAGCCAGGAGGUUGGCUUAGAAGCAGCCACCCUUUAAAGAAAGCGUAAUAGCUCACUGGUCGAGUCGGUCUGCGCGGAAGAUUUAACGGGGCUAAGCAGUGAACCGAAGCUUGGGGUGCAUAAAACUUGUUUUAUGCGCGGUAGAGGAGCGUUCCGUAAGCCUGCGAAGGUGGAUUGAGAAGUCUGCUGGAGGUAUCGGAAGUGCGAAUGCUGACAUGAGUAACGAUAAUGCGGGUGAAAAGCCCGCACGCCGAAAGCCCAAGGUUUCCUUGCGCAACGUUAAUCGACGCAGGGUUAGUCGGUCCCUAAGGCGAGGGCGAAAGCCGUAGUCGAUGGGAAGCAGGUUAAUAUUCCUGCACCUCGCGUGAGUGCGAUGGAGGGACGGAGAAGGUUAGGUGUACCGGGCGUUGGUUGUCCCGGGGAAAGGCGGUAGGUUUGGAUCUUUGGCAAAUCCGGGAUCCUUUAAGACCGAGCACCGAGACGAGCCUUUAUGGCGAAGUCACUGAUACCACGCUUCCAGGAAAAGCUCCUAAGCUUCAGCUCACGAAGACCGUACCGUAAACCGACACAGGUGGGUAGGAUGAGAAUUCUCAGGCGCUUGAGAGAACUCGGGUGAAGGAACUAGGCAACAUGGCACCGUAACUUCGGGAGAAGGUGCACCCUUUUUGGUGGCUCGUGCGAGCUAUAGCUGAAGAGGGUCGCAGAAACCAGGCCGCUGCGACUGUUUAUCAAAAACACAGCACUCUGCAAACACGAAAGUGGACGUAUAGGGUGUGACGCCUGCCCGGUGCUGGAAGGUUAAUUGAUGGGGUCAGCCGCAAGGCGAAGCUCUUGAUCGAAGCCCCAGUAAACGGCGGCCGUAACUAUAACGGUCCUAAGGUAGCGAAAUUCCUUGUCGGGUAAGUUCCGACCUGCACGAAUGGCGUAACGACAGCGGCGCUGUCUCCACCCGAGACUCAGUGAAAUUGAAAUCGCUGUGAAGAUGCAGCGUUCCCGUGGCAAGACGGAAAGACCCCGUGAACCUUUACUAUAGCUUUACACUGAACGUUGAGUUCGUCUGUGUAGGAUAGGUGGGAGGCUAUGAAACUGUGGCGCUAGCUGCAGUGGAGCCAUCCUUGAAAUACCACCCUGUCGUGCUUGACGUUCUAACCUAGAUCCGUUAUCCGGAUCAGGGACCGUGUAUGGUGGGUAGUUUGACUGGGGCGGUCUCCUCCUAAAGAGUAACGGAGGAGCACGAAGGUACGCUCAGCGCGGUCGGACAUCGCGCACUGUGUGCAAAGGCAUAAGCGUGCUUGACUGCAAGAUCGACGGAUCAAGCAGGUACGAAAGUAGGUCUUAGUGAUCCGGUGGUUCUGUAUGGAAGGGCCAUCGCUCAACGGAUAAAAGGUACUCCGGGGAUAACAGGCUGAUACCGCCCAAGAGUUCAUAUCGACGGCGGUGUUUGGCACCUCGAUGUCGGCUCAUCACAUCCUGGGGCUGUAGUCGGUCCCAAGGGUAUGGCUGUUCGCCAUUUAAAGUGGUACGCGAGCUGGGUUCAGAACGUCGUGAGACAGUUCGGUCCCUAUCUGCCAUGGGCGUUGGAAGUUUGAGAGGGGCUGCUCCUAGUACGAGAGGACCGGAGUGGACGAACCUCUGGUGUUCCGGUUGUCACGCCAGUGGCAUUGCCGGGUAGCUAUGUUCGGAAGCGAUAACCGCUGAAAGCAUCUAAGCGGGAAGCGCGCCUCAAGAUGAGACUUCCCGGGGCACAAGCCCCCUAAAGGAACCAUGUAGACUACGUGGUUGA